AGAGUUUGAUCAUGGCUCAGAGCGAACGCUGGCGGCAUGCUUAACACAUGCAAGUCGCACGGGCAGGGGCAACCCUGUCAGUGGCGGACGGGUGAGUAACGCGUAGGGAUCUAUCUCUGGGUGGGGGACAACCGUGGGAAACUACGGCUAAUACCGCAUGACACCUGAGGGUCAAAGGCGCCUGGGGUAACCUGGGUGGUCGCCUGGAGAGGAACCUGCGUACGAUUAGCUUGUUGGUGGGGUAAAGGCCUACCAAGGCGACGAUCGUUAGCUGGUCUGAGAGGAUGAUCAGCCACAUUGGGACUGAGACACGGCCCAAACUCCUACGGGAGGCAGCAGUGGGGAAUAUUGGACAAUGGGCGCAAGCCUGAUCCAGCAAUGCCGCGUGUGUGAAGAAGGUCUUCGGAUUGUAAAGCACUUUCGACGGGGACGAUGAUGACGGUACCCGUAGAAGAAGCCCCGGCUAACUUCGUGCCAGCAGCCGCGGUAAUACGAAGGGGGCUAGCGUUGCUCGGAAUGACUGGGCGUAAAGGGCGCGUAGGCGGUUUGUACAGUCAGGUGUGAAAUUCCCGGGCUCAACCUGGGGGCUGCACUUGAUACGUAUGGACUUGAGUGAGGAAGAGGGUCGUGGAAUUCCCAGUGUAGAGGUGAAAUUCGUAGAUAUUGGGAAGAACACCGGUGGCGAAGGCGGCGACCUGGUCCUUUUACUGACGCUGAGGCGCGAAAGCGUGGGGAGCAAACAGGAUUAGAUACCCUAGUAGUCC
rnacentral:rRNA from 1 species